UACGGAGGGUGCGAGCGUUGUCCGGAAUCAUUGGGCGAAAGGGCGCGUAGGCGGCCUGGCAAGUGGAAGGUGAAAUCCCUCGGCUUAACCGAGGAACUGCCCUCCAAACUGCUUGGCUUGAGUCCGGGAGAGGUGAGUGGAAUUCCCAGUGUAGCGGUGAAAUGCGUAGAUAUUGGGAGGAACACCAGUGGCGAAGGGCGGCUCACUGGGCCAUUACUGACGCUGAGGAGCGAAAGCGUGGGGAGCGAACAGG
rnacentral:rRNA from 1 species